AGAAUAUAAAAUAAAAAUUGAUUAUUUUUUGGUCCUCGAUUCUCAAAUUCGUUUUUUCAUCAAUCUGAUUGCGUAUUACUAAUAAUAAUAAAUAAAUAAGCACAAAUAAUUCCUCUUGUGUAGCGAAACGACCAGUUAUAUGAUUCGAUUACUAUCGGCUAAUCUUAUUAUGUGAUGACUAAUAAAAUAAAAAGGUUUUCAUCACGUUCGUCUUCUCGUUCUAGUCGAUACUUUGUAGAAAUUGUAAGGCCCGCUGGCUAUUGUGUUCACAAAAAAAAGAAGAAAAUACAAUUUGUAUCGUUUUCAUUGUACCCUAUUGCGUAUCGGAGAGGUUAAGUUUUAGUCUGUCUAACAUUCUAUAUUUAUUUUUGAACAUCGUUCUCAUACCGUUUUUAAUGUUUAUAAGUAUACGACGUAAUUUAUAACUUUAAAA